UGCCUAAACCUUACAGUUCCGGCUGUAGGGCAUGGCGAAAAAUACCGUUCAGAGUUUUAAGCUCCUCGUCAGAGACUCUGAACGGUCAUAGUCCGAAAGGAUUAUGGGUAGCGAAAGCUAUC
rnacentral:sRNA from 12 species